GCCUUACCACCCUGAACAUGCCCGAUCUCAGAAGCUAAGCAGGGGCAGGUCUGGUUAGUACUGGGAUGGGAGGAAUUGGGAGAAGUACAAGUCAAAUGCC
rnacentral:rRNA from 1 species